rnacentral:tRNA from 1 species
GCCAGAAUGGCAUAGUGGUUUGAGUAUUGGACUAAGAAUCUGGAGACCAGGGUUUGAAUCCCUGCUCAGACA